GGUUGACUGAUUGUACCUGCCAGCUGGCUAAUAUCAUAAUUAACAAAGUUGCUACUACGUCUGCAAAGUUUAAUCGAAAAAUUUGCCAGUGAUAUUAUGGCAUUGUCACAAAGAUCACAAGGGACUCGGAGUCGACUUUCGCUCAAGGUGGAAUGGCAGAGCUGUGGAGGCAAAAGGAGAAAUCUUGAACUUGUUCAGCCAAA
ensembl:misc_RNA